GGGCCCGUAGCUCAGAUGGUUAGAGCAGCUGACUCAUAAUCAGCCGGUCGUCCGUUCGACCCGGACCGGGCCCA
rnacentral:tRNA from 1 species